ensembl:lncRNA
AGCACACAGAGCACCUCACCACAGAUGGAUUUGCCUGGGAAGACUCAGCUAUGAAAAGUGUUUUAGAGCCCCUGAGUGGACCCAGCUGAUCUCCAGACUGAACAGGUGAAGUUACAUCCCUGCAUCGUGAGACUGAAGCAGCACAUACUGCACUGGUGGAUUUACUUCUUGUCCACAUCAAAAUGCAGAGACUGCUCCAUUCAUCAGGUCCAUGGCAUACAAAGGAGAUGUUAUCAACAUGUAUCUUGUGUCCUAGCAAGGAAAACUGAGAAUCAGCAGAAGCAUUCAGGCAAACAGGAACAGAUGCCUGAAAGAUCUCAUAUCAGCAGCAGGUGGAAUGGCUUGUAGGUAAAAUACCUGUAAAUGAAGCCUCUUCCCAACAGUCCCAGAACAAGAUUUGUUUGUAGUCCAAAGGAUGCGAUAUCACAGAGGAGAUUAAAGCAAGAAAACAUGCUGUUGAGAACAUAGCAUGAAGGCUAUUUUUUGGGGUCUCAUGACCUUCCAGCCCUAUACGAUGAGCAGAACAAACCAGUGAAUGUACCAGGAUGUUAAGAGUUUACAGUUUUGACAGCCUGGACCUGCUCUCUCAGAGCACAUUCUCAUGCAACUUGCAUUCAUAUUCUUGUCUCUGUCCAGCUAUGCUGAAUGGGGGGAGAUUAGCAAGAUGGGCUAGAGUGCUGCAAUGGUGUCUUGUGCUGUGGUCAGAUGUCUUUUGCAGUCCAAGGAAGGAGCUUCAUGGGUUGAUGAAGAGGUCUUGUCUGUCCCCACAUUGCUCAGAAGGACAUAGGCCAGGUUCAGAAGCGAGACUUCUUAAAUAUUUUCAUAAUCUUUGCAUUAACUAGCAAAGUGAGAACUACUCUCUGUUAAAAGUCAUUUCAUCAACAUAAAUGGAGGUUAUCUCAAAGGCAACAGGUGUUGAGGACUUUAGAGCCUGUGCUGCCCUUUCUGGGCUGUUAGGCUGGAUAAUCCUGGAAAAGGCUCUCCUUUGGUCCACGGCAAAUUCAGAGUAGGAGCUCAGGCGUUAUGGUCUUCCAUGGGUAUUGAGGAAAGCUCCGCUCUCACCCUUCUCCCAUGCUCCAGCCAUUCAUUUCCCUGACCCUGGUGACAGCCAUCCCUGCUCUGCACACCAGGGCCAACUCAGGACAAACCAGUUGUAUGCCAGCCCUGCCAGAUAUCAUGGAGGUGGAGGGCAGAGGAGGAGAAAGGAUGCAUCAGAAUCAUGGAGAUCAUCUUCUGCAAAGGAAAAAUCCUCAAUGAAGAAUGAAGCCCACAAACCAUAUAAAAGUUUAUUUGAUGACUAAGUAGGGAAGGAAAAAAAUAUAUAUGUUCUCCACAGCUCUUGUUUUCAAUACAUGCAUUACGUAUUAUUUAUUUACAUAAUUACCCAUUGCCUACUGCUAUAGCUUUUUAUUUGCAACCUCACUUGGAAAACUACACCGUGUGUUGGCCUAAGCACCCAGUCUGAAUGCAGAAGUGGUGUCUGGGUGCCUAGCAAUAACUUCUGGUGCCACUGGUCAAUUUUAAUUGCAUUUGGCAGGCUGAAGUUUGAGUAAGUUCCUUCCAGUUAUUUUGAGCAAACGGUGGGUAGGUACAAAAAACAUCAGUAGAUUUUCCAGGCUGAAAGCUAAACUCAGCCUUAGAGAAAAGAGGGCUUUACCUCUUAGUAUAGGCUUCAUGUUUUUUGCAAUGCAUAGAAUUACUCACUUUUUGUAUGAUUUGCUUUCAUUCAGUUUUCUCCAUAUGUCCAGAGACUGUAGGAUGUGAUGCAAUUGAGAGAACAACCAUUACCCUUGUUUUAAAAAGAAAUCCUUCAAAAAAAUGGGUUUUGUUUCCAACUCCCGGGUUUUAUUUUUCACAUUCAAAGAAAAAACUUAUUUCUUGUUCUACCUAUAACAUUAUAUUCCUUCUCAGUUUUGAAAAGGUCACAUCACCUGAUGUAAUAAUUGCAUGCAGCUGUUAUGUAAUUGUUCCUCAUAUUUCUAUAAAAGGCAGUAAUU